rnacentral:rRNA from 1 species
AGAGUUUGAUCCUGGCUCAGGACGAACGCUUGCGACGUGCCUAAGAAAUGCAAGAUCGAGCGGGGGGUAGCAAUACCCUUAGCGGGCGAACGGUCGCGUAACACGUAGGCAACCUGCCCUUAAGACCGGGACAACAGUUCGAAAGGGACUGCUAAUACCGGAUGUGGUCAUCUGUCGGCAUCGGCGGAUGAGUAAAUCCCUCACGGGGCUUAAGGAGGGGCCUGCCGGCUAUCAGCUAGAUGGUGGGGUAAUUGGCCUACCAUGGCGACGACGGGUUAGCUGGUCUGAAGAGGACCGGUCAAGCCGGAUUGGGGACUUGAGAUACGGGCCCAGACUUCUUACGGGGGGGCAGCAAUUUAGGGAA